GACCGGGCGGGGAGCUCUCGCGGGCAAAUGCGGGGUCGCCCCGGGACCAUUCCGUACCGCUGGAGCCGCUACUUUGGGCAAUGUGUGUCUAAGUAUUUAUUCCGAGCGCUGUCGGGCCGGAGAUAGCGGUAGCACGCUAAGCCUGCUGGAAUUUAACCCGGGGGAACUUAAAGCGGGCAGCUGGCAGAGCGAAGGAAAAACAAAGUCUGGAGUGUUUGUGUGCAUAGAGUCCACCAAUGCCUACUGGAAAACACUGUGACACCAAGAGUUGCAGCACAGCUCCAUGAAAAUAACCAGCCUACCUCCACAACUUAGGCAUUCUUC